GUCCCUUUGGCGCAGCGGAUAGCGCGUUGGACUUCUAAUCCAAAGGUCGCGGGUUCGAGUCCCGCAAGGGAUG